GGCCUGAUGGUCUAGUGGUAUGAUUCGCGCUUCGGGUGCGCGAGGUUCCGAGUUCGAUCCCCGGUCAGGCCC
rnacentral:tRNA from 1 species